rnacentral:rRNA from 1 species
GACGAACGCUGGCGGCGUGCCUAAUACAUGCAAGUAGAACGCACAGUUUAUACCGUAGCUUGCUACACCAUAAACUGUGAGUUGCGAACGGGUGAGUAACGCGUAGGUAACCUGCCUGGUAGCGGGGGAUAACUAUUGGAAACGAUAGCUAAUACCGCAUAAUAUUGAUUAUUGCAUUAUAAUUGAUUGAAAGAUGCUAUUGCAUCACUACCAGAUUGACCUGCUUUGUAUUAGCUAGUAGGUGAGGUAACGGCUCACCUAGGCGACGAUACAUAGCCGACCGGAGAGGGUGAUCGGCCACACUGGGACUGAGACACGGCCCAGACUCCUACGGGAGGCAGCAGUAGGGAAUCUUCGGCAAUGGACGAAAGUCUGAACGAGCAACGCCGCGUGAGUGAAGAAGGUUUUCGGAUCGGAAAGCUCUGUUGUAAGAGAAGAACGGGUGUGAGAGUGGAAAGUUCACACUGUGACGGUAUCUUACCAGAAAGGGACGGCUAACUACGUG